CGUCUCCUGAGGGACCCAUCCCCGACGGCGAAGAAGCAAUAGAGGAAGGAGAUCCUUCCGGAGCCAGAGACGGAGAAACGGCGGAAGAAGAUUUUGGUGCCAUUGAUCCCGACGGUGAAGAACCCGGAGCAGAGGACGGAGGUGAUGGAGGAGAAGUCAUCGGAGAAACAGGGGAAGAAGACUCAGGUGACAUAGAUCCCGGCGGAGAAGCCAUCGGAGCAGAGGACGGAGAAACAGGGGAUGAGGACUUAGGUGACAUGGAUCCCGGCGGAGAAGUCACCGGAGCAGAGGACGGAGAAACGGGGGAGGAUGAUUUAGGUGGCAUAGGCGCCGGUGGAGAAGUAGCCGGAGAAACAGGGGAAGAAGAAGACUUAGGUGGCAUUGAUCCUGGCGGAGAGUUUCCCGGCGUGGAGGCUUGAGGAGGCGGAGUCGAAGUUCUGACAGACAAGACAACGACGGCAAGCUUCUGUCCCUUCUUACAGUUAUCUUCAUUACCGCUGAUGAAGUAAAACGGACCAGAGCGAUCAAGCGAGAUCUCAGAGUUUCCGUCGUCAGCUUUCUUGAUCGGGUUCUUGGUGUUACAUCCGUCGUAGUCAGCCUUGCUGACCUCUAGAACCGAGUCAGCUCCCUUGGCGUAGGUAAAAUCUGCAAGAAAAAUAAUCAAACAGAGUCUCAGACAAAACUCCACCGAAAGUAACGACUCCAUGACAAGUAAGAAAGAAUAGUUUACAGAGAGUGUCGUGUACUAGGAAACGGCUUUUUCCAGCCCAAGAUCCAUAAUCUUCCGGGGGAUUUGGAACCCACGCGCCGCUACCUCCGACUCCGAACCUCCGUGCGUCGGAGAUGGUUGAGAAAGAGAGGAGGGCAGUGAAGAAGAAGAAGAAACAAAGGCUUUUGGUUCUUGGAAACUCCAUGGUUAUGAGACAAAUGGGUUUGUGUGUGUGAGACUAUGAAUAUAUAGAAAUAGGAAUAGGCUAAAGGAAAGUGAAGCUUUUUGUCUUUUAGAUAGGGAGAUGUAACGUUUAUGGUAAUACGUGUUAUAAAAAUUGAAUCUCGUGUCAGUCUUCGUUAAAAGAAGAGACUUUCUUCUUGUAUCCCCACCGACGUGUUUAAUUUGUUUUUUUUUUGGGAUUUGAAAAUCUUAUAUCCUUUUGGUAAAGGAAACAAACAUUUGGUACUACGAGUUUAUUACGCGUUUAGAGAGCUAUAGAUUGUGACAAAAGAAUCGGAUUCAAGCACCAAUCCCAGAAGAACUAAUGUUCAUUCUUGAGGAUAUGUCUAACAAUCGAAUCAUAUACUUCCAUUAAACAUGUAUAUGAGAAUAUCAGAAUACUAUAAAGUCUUUUUAUAUCUGCAUCUGGUUCCAUUUUCUCUUUUUGAGCAAGUUUUAUCUUUACGAUGCAUGCGAUCAUUAUUGUAGUUGCAGAGAAUUUCUGAAUACAAAGAAUUUGAAUUUGUGGACUGGACUUAGGUAUGGGGCCAUGAAUCUGAUUUCUCAAGGGCC
rnacentral:lncRNA from 1 species